rnacentral:rRNA from 1 species
GACGUAGGGCGCGAGCGUUGUCCGGAUUUAUUGGGCGUAAAGGGUGCGUAGGCGGCGUGGUAAGUCGGGUGUGAAAUCUCGGAGCUUAACUCCGAAACUGCAUUCGAUACUGCCGUGCUUGAGGACUGGAGAGGAGACUGGAAUUUACGGUGUAGCGGUGAAAUGCGUAGAUAUCGUAAGGAAGACCAGUGGCGAAGGCGGGUCUCUGGACAGUUCCUGACGCUGAGGCACGAAGGCCAGGGGAGCAAACGGG